rnacentral:lncRNA from 1 species
AUUGUCCAAUCCCGAGGCUGAAAGUUCUUUGAUUGUUCGAUUGUCCACCUCCAUGUCUUUUUCUGCCUCCUCAUUUUCUUCAAAUUCGGAUUCAGAACUAGAACUAGGUGGAUUAGGUUCUGGUUCUUUCCUUUUCCUUCUCAAAGUUCGUUCAAAAUUGUCGUCAAACUCCGAUAUGUGUGCACGAACUGGUUGAGAACUACGAGUCAUAAACUAGUACCUGAAAUAAACAAAAUC